GCAUGCUACCGCUCAGCCCCAGCCCCAGCCCCAAGGGUCUUUAGUUUUUGCAACUGAACAAAUUCCUAAGUUGAUCCACAUCCAAGAUGCAUCUCCUUGAAAUCUCCUUCUCUUCUGAUGUUUCCCGGUCAGUGUGUUUGACCUUCAUCUACUCAGAAAUUGGAGAGUGUCUUCUCUAAGAAGCUAAAAAUAAUGUGGUUCUCAGCCUCCUUUGAAGUCAGAGGUGGCCAAAUGACACAUCAGCUUCAAGUGUCUGGGAAUGUUGACCUCUAGAGUUUAAUCGUCCCUCCCCCCAUACAUAACUAAUCUCUGAGUCUUCUUGAUACUAUUUCUUAAAUCUUUCUGUUAUGAGGUGAAUUUUGGUUCUCAAUUUUUAUAUUGAAAUCCUGACCCCCAGUAUCUCACAAACAAUUCUGCUUGGAAGUAGCAUUGCUGAUGUAAUUGGUUAAGAUGAAGUCAUCGUUAUUAUCUGAACGUUUAUACUCCCCAAAUUCAUACGUUGACAUCCCCCGUGAGGUGAUGACCUUAGGAAGUCACUGGGUCGUGGGAGUGGAGCCCUCUUGAAAGGGUGAGUGCCCUUCUAAAGAGGCCCCUCCUCCACUGAGGACACAGUGACGAGGUGCUGCCUAUGAGAAGACGGAACCUCAGCAGACAUCAAAUCUGUUGAUGCCUUGAUCUUGAACUUCUC
rnacentral:lncRNA from 1 species